GUGGGGAAUAUUGGACAAUGGGCGCAAGUCUGAUCCAGCCAUGUCGCGUGUGUGAAGAAGGCCUUCGGGUUGUAAAGCACUUUUGUCCGGGAAGAAAUCUUCCAGGUUAAUACCCUGGGAGGCUGACGGUACCGGAAGAAUAAGCACCGGCUAACUUCGUGCCAGCAGCCGCGGUAAUACGAAGGGUGCAAGCGUUACUCGGAAUUACUGGGCGUAAAGCGUGCGUAGGUGGUUCGUUAAGUCUGCCGUGAAAGCCCCGGGCUCAACCUGGGAAUGGCGGUGGAUACUGGCGGGCUAGAGUGCGGUAGAGGGUGGUGGAAUUCCCGGUGUAGCAGUGAAAUGCGUAGAGAUCGGGAGGAACAUCUGUGGCGAAGGCGGCCACCUGGACCAGCACUGACACUGAGGCACGAAAGCGUGGGGAGCAAACAGGAUUAGAAACCCUAGUAGUCC
rnacentral:rRNA from 1 species